AUGGAACUAGUUGUUGUGGUCC
rnacentral:siRNA from 1 species